AGUACCAAGGGCUAUUUUUUGAUAAGAAAGUGUGCAUGAACCAUGAGCACCGACUGUCAGUAUGUUCAGACCCUUUACGACGCCUAAUUUUGAUAGGAGCGACGGGGUAAGCGACAAUUGUAAGAAGGUGAAGGGGGGAGUACUGGGGCUGCGAGGUAAUCAACGAAAAGAGUCUCCUUAUCCUCACCGCCUUCAGCUACUACAUCGCCGUUAUAUGGUGGCGUUCAAUGAGUUUGGCUGUGCCCCUUGACUCUCCUAACAAACUUUUGAAAGAAGACACUACCGUUGUCACCGGUCUCCCGACGCUUUACCUUACUUGGUUUCUCACUGUUGUUUAAGUGCACCAUCAGCUAUUUUCCUGCUCCCCCGGCGUUGUUGGUUUCAAAUUUAGUAGUCCUGGUCUCGCUUGCAAAGCAUAAUGGUUUGCAAUGGUUCGAAAAUUCGAACGAGAAUGCUAACGUUCCUCACUCAUUCUAUAGAUCUUUCCUGCGCGGCUUUCAGUGGACCUUACUUUCUCGGACGCCAGGCAUAUUGCUAACCAUUAACGGUGUCUGCCAGAUUACAGGGAAGAUAGCACCUGCCGAAGGACUCUUUCCACAGACGACUUUUUGUUAAGUUUAAAAGCAGAUCUUUUGACCCGAGCGUACGCAACCUAGAGCUUUCCGCUGCACAUGCUUACCUUGAGUUAACUUGAUCCCAAAAGAAGCUGCAUUAGCCAAAGAGUUCAGCAAGACCUUCCAGUGUAGAGUGUGACAUGACCAAAGGGUAAUGAACCUACAUUUAGCGUAUGUUCCGGCGACGGGUGGCAACCUUUCAAGAAACCUAGAUCGAAACCAUCAGAGAGUGCAGAGAACUAAGCCGUCUGUAGACGCGAAUUUUAUAUGUAGGCUUGUCUGUUAGAAGGAUUUACACGGCGAUGAACCUGGCGGCAGAAAGCAACCGUUACUUUCUUUGAAGAAUGUACAUUGCAAGCGCGAAGACUCACAAGUUUCAAGCCAACAGUCCAAGGUGCAUGAGACGCGCCUAAUGCUACCAUUAAGCCAACUUGCACAGCUGCCCAAACGGGAUCUUUGAAUGAUGGCCGACGCCCACAUCGCUGUAGUCGCUGCGACAACAAAUGUUGCUUGCGAGUCCUCGCAAAAAGGGUCGGGUAAAGAUGUUUAAAAUAGUAAGGUAGAUUGCAGAGACAACCGCAAACAACGGGACUAGAGAACUAGUCUCUCAUCUCUUAUACGUCAUUUUCAACGCCUUAAUUAUGACAAAAAUACCUCUAUUAGUACUAAAAUAGUACAACCAGCAGUAAAAG